GAGUUUGAUCCUGGCUCAGGAUGAACGCUAGCGGCAGGCUUAACACAUGCAAGUCGAGGGGUAACAGAGGUAGCUUGCUACUUGCUGACGACCGGCGCACGGGUGCGUAACGCGUAUAGAAUCUACCUUAUACUGGGGGAUAGCCUUUGGAAACGAAGAUUAAUACCCCAUAGUAUGUUUGAAUGGCAUCAUUUAGGCAUUAAAGUUUCGGCGGUAUAAGAUGACUAUGCGUUCUAUUAGUUUGUUGGUAAGGUAACGGCUUACCAAGACUACGAUAGAUAGGGGUCCUGAGAGGGAGAUCCCCCACACUGGUACUGAGACACGGACCGGACUCCUACGGGAGGCAGCAGUGAGGAAUAUUGGGCAAUGGAGGCAACUCUGAUCCAGCCAUGCCGCGUGUAGGAAGACUGCCCUAUGGGUUGUAAACUACUUUUAUAUGGGAAGAAUAAGGUCUACGUGUAGACUGAUGACGGUACCAUAAGAAUAAGCACCGGCUAACUCCGUGCCAGCAGCCGCGGUAAUAAGGGCGA
rnacentral:rRNA from 1 species